CAAAAACACAACCUUUCUUUCUUCUUCGACAUUGUUCUUCUUCCUGAACUUUCUCUGUCAAUCAAAGCAGAAACUUCAUCUUCUUCGAUGAUGAUAAUUUGGACUUCAAAUUUCUACUCGAAUCCAUGCAAUUCAUGAUGAAGAUGAUGAUUUGAUUGAAUCAAUUUUCGAUUUCAAAGAUGGUAAUGUGACUAAUGUCGAUCUCCACAAAUUUUUUAACGCUGGUAAUGCAAAUGCUGUUCGGAAUCAAUCCAAUUGAUGGUUUUUCAUCUCCUUCGAUUAGAUGUUCGUGAGUUUUAGUUUUCAUCAUGCAAUAACAAGAGCCAUCUAACAAUUUGGAUUUCAUGAUGCUACCUCGCAUAAACUUUAUACCUAUUCCUACUUUUUUAUUUAGGUUUGUACUCUGCGCCCAACUCCUGCAUAUAGUCGUAACUGAAUAGUCACGAUUCCUUAUCGUCUUCCUUUGACAAAAGUGUGGGUAGCAUUGUCUCUAUAUCCUCCAACGACAUUUGAGUAGCAUCCCACUUUGCUUGCUGCGUCCGUUUUUAUCGUCACAUAAAAUGAAAUAGGCCAAGGUCAUUGCAGCCUUUCAUAUGUUUAUGAAUGCGAAAGAAGAUUCUUAAGAUUGUUAUGCAAUGAUCUGCGCAAGAGAUUGGUAUACCUUGAAAACAGAGGUGACUUUUUCGCACCAUGAGGUGUUUUUUUCCGACUGUGACUGUACCUUUUUACUUCUUUGCUUUUGAUUUUAUAUCAGUUGCCCUAACUGGAGCUUACAGUAUGUUGUUAGUUUCAUUCUUUGUGAUGAAGUCUUCCUUUAAUCAGGUAUUUAAAACAUUUCACCUGUAGCUUUGACAUCUGCAGUUGGAAAAUUUUCACUUUUUAAACCAUUUGUUGGUAUAAAGAACCAUUACUACGCAUAGAUUUUGGGAUGUGUAUUUUUGCUGUAAGGUGUUGUUAUAAAGAACCAUUAUUAUGCAUAUGUUUUGGAAUGUGUAUUUUUGAUGUAAGGUAAAUUAGGGUAUAUAGAGUUUCGAAUUUGUAUAUAUGGUAUUUGGUUAAUUACUGUGUAUGGUUUUCUUGAUUUGCAAGUUUGUAGGAUUAACCGGGAAAAGUAUUAGCAAGGAAUGAGUUCUUUAGAUCUUUGUGGCCUGCGAAUUUCUCAAAGAGAAAGUUUACAGCUAAAGGCCGUCACUCAUCAGCUGCCUUGAUCAAGGCAGCUGGGAUUCAACUACGCCUUGAGUGUCGUCGCUGGAUUGAGUACCAUAAAUGUUUAUCCAGAUGUCUUAAUCUAUCGGACAGUAUUGUUGAAAUAUUAAAUACUGAAUGAGAAAGAAAAAAUUCUUUGUUUUACUGAUGUGUUGGGAUCAAAUUUUUUGCAAUAUCAUAGGUUCAGUGUGACAGGUGCCGAAAGAUUUAGUGUUUGCCGAUGUGCAAAGCACGUGCACUCUACUUGUUUAUGUAAAAGUCUUAUGAUAUUAAUGAGGUUGAUGUUUUUUCACACAGAUCAUCUGCAAAAAGGUACCUGGUACGUGUUGCAGUUCAAGAUGCAUCCAGAUCUCCUAUGUUUGUUGCAGGCAUUCAGGACGAAAACAUGCUUGGAUUAUCAGCAGUUGAGCAGUCCUACUGGUCACUACUAUCAUUGAACUAUGAAAGCAACAGAGAGACAUUCGUAUCAAGUUAAAUAUUCUGCAUGACACUUAAAUUCUCACUAUUGUCACUCAUUGUUCCUGCGACGUUGCUCGGAACAACACACGUAUUAUGCAUCAUAAUUUACUAUUCCAGAAAAUCCAAUGAAAAUCAGCUUCGUAGUUUUUUUGAAUUGAUUCAUCAUAUCUU